AGAGUUUGAUCAUGGCUCAGAACGAACGUUAGCGGCGNNNNUAACACAUGCAAGUCGAACGCGACAGGGGCAACUCUGUUGAGUGGCGCACGGGUGAGUAACACGUAGGUAAUCUCCCCCCGAGUGGUGGAUAACCCUCCGAAAGGAGAGCUAAUACAGCAUAAGACCACGGUUUCGAAAGGGACUGAGGUCAAAGCGGAGGAUCGUAAGACUUCGCGCUUGGGGAUGAGCCUGCGGCCCAUCAGGUAGUUGGCGGGGUAAUGGCCCACCAAGCCAUAGACGGGUAGCUGGUCUGAGAGGAUGAUCAGCCACACUGGAACUGAGACACGGUCCAGACUCCUACGGGAGGCAGCAGUGGGGAAUCUUGCGCAAUGGACGAAAGUCUGACGCAGCGACGCCGCGUGGGUGAUGAAGGCCUUCGGGUUGUAAAGCCCUGUGGGGAGGGACGAAUAAGUUUCGGUUAAUACCCGAAGCGAUGACGGUACCUCCUUAGCAAGCACCGGCUAACUCUGUGCCAGCAGCCGCGGUAAGACAGAGGGUGCAAACGUUGUUCGGAAUUACUGGGCGUAAAGCGCGUGUAGGCGGCCAAGCAAGUCGGAUGUGAAAGCCCUCGGCUCAACCGGGGAAGUGCACUCGAAACUGCUAGGCUAGAGUCUCGGAGAGGAUCGUGGAAUUCUCGGUGUAGAGGUGAAAUUCGUAGAUAUCGAGAGGAACACCGGUGGCGAAGGCGGCGAUCUGGACGAUGACUGACGCUGAGACCGCGAAAGCGUGGGGAGCAAACAGGAUUAGAUACCCUAGUAGUCC
rnacentral:rRNA from 1 species